rnacentral:rRNA from 1 species
UACGUAGGGGGCAAGCGUUGUCCGGAAUCAUUGGGCGUAAAGAGCGUGUAGGCGGCCCGAUAAGUCCGCUGUGAAAGUCCAGGGCUCAACCCUGGAAUGCCGGUGGAUACUGUCGGGCUCGAAUCCGGAAGAGGUGAGUGGAAUUCCCGGGUGUAGCGGUGAAAUGCGCAGAUAUCGGGAGGAACACCAAUGGCGAAGGCAGCUCGCUGGGACGGUACUGACGCUGAGACGCGAAAGCGUGGGGAGCGAACGAGG